rnacentral:lncRNA from 1 species
GAGAGCUGACCUUGAGUGUUACUUUUGUCUUUUAUCUGCAGGCACUAACAAGAACAGCUUGAUUGCAGAGAAGAGACCACACAGCCAUACACGCUCACUGAUGGGACGAUGAGGAACAUCAUUCAUGGAUGCUACACAACUCAAAUCUACACGUCAUAUUUGUUCAUGUCUAGGUAAAUUUGAUGAUUUUGUUUUAUUAAUUACUUUGUUUCUGUGCAACACUUAAUGAAUGUGACUGACUAAUUAACCUCUACACAUCUGGUAUAUGCUUUAAAGUUGCCACUUUGCCCAUUUGUUCAAUAAAUGUUGAAAUGUAUACAUCUGUCUGAAGACUUUCCUGAUUUUAUGUCUAUCCUUUUACAUUAACUUUAUUUUUAUCAUAAUUAACAUUAUUUUUUUUGUUUGCACUGAAAAGAGGACAUUAUUAAUUACGCUUAAAACAACAGCAGAGGUGUUAAAUACCCCAUAGUGUAAAAUUUGAACAGCAAUAGCAUGUGUAACACUUUACACUUGGAGUGUAAUUUUUCUAGACAUUGUUUAAAAUGAAAUGUAAAAUGUGAAAAUGAAAAGGAUUUAAUUAAAUUCUGAUUUUAAUUCAGUGUGUGUUAUAUUUAUAUAUAUAUAUAUACUUUAGAAAUAACUGCAAAUUACAAGCUAAAAAAACAACAGCAGAGGUGUUAAAUACCCCAUAGUGUAAAAAUUUGAACAGCAAUAGCAUGUGUAACACUUUACACUUGGAGUGUAAUUUUUCUAGACAUUGUUUAAAAUGAAAUGUAAAAUGUGAAAAUGAAAAGGAUUUAAUUAAAUUCUGAUUUUAAUUCAGUGUGUGUUAUAUUUAUAUAAAAUCAAAAAUGCUUUUGGAAAAUAUACCUCAUACAUUAAUGGCAGAAGUCUAUAGAUAUAUUGGAUACAUUGUUUUAUAGUAAAUAAAAGAAACUAUGUAAACUCCAUACAGUAAUAGGAAAAGUAUGUAGAUAUAUCGGAUAGCUGCUUUAAAUUAAAACAAAGUUUAUAUAAAGUGAACUAUGAAUUAUUGGGAAAAGUAUGUCGAUAUAUUGGAUAGUUGCUUUUUAGUAUUAUAAAACAAAGUUUAUAUAAGUGAACUCCAUAAUAUGGAAUAUUAACUACUUUGUUUCUGUGCAACACUUAAUGAAUGUGACUGACUAAUUAACCUCUACACAUCUGGUAUAUGCUUUAAAGUUGCCACUUUGCCCAUUUGUUCAAUAAAUGUUGAAAUGUAUACAUCUGUCUGAAGACUUUCUUGAUUUUAUGUCUAUCCUUUUACAUUAACUUUAUUUUUAACAUAAUUAACAUUAUUCUUUUUGUUUGCACUGAAAAGAGGACAUUAUUAAUUACACUUAAAACAACAGCAGAGGUGUUAAAUACCCCAUAGUGUAAAAUUUUAACAAUAGCAUGUGUAACACUUUACACUUGGAGUGUAAUUUUUCUAGACAUUGUUUAAAAUGAAAUGUAAAAUGUGAAAAUGAAAAGGAUU